GUUUAGUUGAAAAUUUGUUUGAAUAGAAUACUUUGUAAUUGUUGAAAUAGUAAAGUUGUUUAUGUCGUUGAUCUUUUUACCUCUAAAACUUCAGUGAUAAACAGAUGUGGGUCUCCUAAUUGAAAGGUUUCGCCAAAAGAUGCCACCAGUGCCAGACCGAAAUGGAUGGUAUCCAAAAAGGUAAUUGUACACGUGUGUGCUUCCUAAUUUGAUGCAGCAUAUAUAAAAGUGAGUAUUUUUUGUUAUGAGGACAAAGGGAUUCCAUUAUGUUCUUGCAGUUAAAUCACCACAAUGAAACGUUUCUCCUGAACAGAAUAUCUAUGAUAUUUUAAUAACUGAAUGUUGUACAAUACCAGACAUCCAUAUGUUUUAUAAAAAAGUAAAAAUCGAUGUCUCAUAAUCUGUGAAUGAAAUUUUGAGCACUAUAUUUUCAGUAUUUUUAUUUUCAUAAGUGAAUAUCAAUACACAAACAACUAUUCCAUUCACAAAAUGCACAAGUGGUAAAAAUGCCACAGUCAUCAGUGAUGGAGAUAAACAUUCAAUAAUGUUAAUUUAUAACAGAAGUUAUUUCCCAGAUAAACACUAAUGAAUUUGAAAUGUAAACAGCAAUCGACUGCUUCUGUCAUGCUAUUUUUUUCCAGUUAAUCAGUUUAAAACUCAUUACAAUGGAGAUUUAAUUUUUUAAGGCAGUUUCAGCAAACCAUUUUCAAACAUAACAGAAAAGACGAUUUACUUUGAAAUAAGUAUUAAUUUCCUUAUUUUAAUAAAUACAUUUGUUCCAUCAAAUUUUAUCAAAGCAAGAUGUGAUGACUAAAUAGAAAAAUAAGCACUCAUGU